AAUACUUGGUAAAAUCAAACUCAAUACACAAAAGCAUUUGUAAUAGAUAGUAAACUGACUACUGAUCCACUCGUUAUUUCUAACAAAGUUAAUGACCACUUCUUUAAAAUCUCAAAACUCCAUUUUCAUUUGUCCAACAACCCCCGAACUGAAAUUAAAAAUAUAAUCAUGGACCUAACAUCUAAAUCUAGCUGUGGCAUGGAUGGCAUCCCAAGUAGAUUGAUAAAAUCCACCCCUGAAAACAUUUUGCUUGCCUUAUCCCAUGUGUUCAACCUAUCUUUACAAAAUGGAACCUUUAUUGAUGAUCGUCUUUGGACGAGAAUCGAGCCUACUACAAACGUGACACUUCAUUGAGCGACUUUCGCCAUCGCCCCGGAAGUUUCUUCGCCGAGGGAGCACCGUUUGAACCAACAGUUUUAUCGCACACAGAUGCAAGGCAUGAAUAACAACUGGCUAUCCUCCACACAUACCUCGAGUAAUCUAAUUCCUUUCGUGAGGUUCGCUAACACCACAUCACCACUCAUGCCGGAACCGUUCACAUCUAACACAAGCAACGCUAAACCACAUCCGGGGUUUUAAAAGAUUAGUGGCAUUUCAUCUAUGUUGCACAAUAUCGCAAGCACACCGUUCGACCUUAUGUCUUACAAUAGCGCCGACGGUACACCAGUAACUAGCGCGCCACACAAACCGGACUAUAUGUUUAGCACCCCAAAUGCCCCUGGUAAUAGUUCGGUACCUUUUUCAUUUUAUCCUACAAU